GAUGAACGCUGGCGGCGUGCCUAAUACAUGCAAGUCGAGCGAACGGACGAGAAGCUUGCUUCUCUGAUGUUAGCGGCGGACGGGUGAGUAACACGUGGAUAACCUACCUAUAAGACUGGGAUAACUUCGGGAAACCGGAGCUAAUACCGGAUAAUAUUUUGAACCGCAUGGUUCAAAAGUGAAAGACGGUCUUGCUGUCACUUAUAGAUGGAUCCGCGCUGCAUUAGCUAGUUGGUCAGGUAACGGCUUACCAAGGCAACGAUGCAUAGCCGACCUGAGAGGGUGAUCGGCCACACUGGAACUGAGACACGGUCCAGACUCCUACGGGAGGCAGCAGUAGGGAAUCUUCCGCAAUGGGCGAAAGCCUGACGGAGCAACGCCGCGUGAGUGAUGAAGGUCUUCGGAUCGUAAAACUCUGUUAUUAGGGAAGAACAUAUGUGUAAGUAACUGUGCACAUCUUGGCGGUACCUAAUCAGAAAGCCACGGCUAACUACGUG
rnacentral:rRNA from 1 species